AGAAGACAGGCGGGACUUGGGGAACGACAGGUGUGAAGACCUGGGGCGGAGCCUGAGGCUGGGGUCGAGACCACAGGGGUCAGGAGAGAAGGGCGGAAGUUGCGGUUUGAUCCACCGCCCAAUUCCUUUCCUGGGAUCUUCAGAGUUAUAGAAAUUUGAGGUCAAGACAGACCUGGAUUGAACUUAAACCUGACAUCAACUUUUGUGACCUUGGGCUCCUAACCAGCCUCUCCGAAGUGACUGUUAUUAAGAUUAAAAGAAGGUAAUAAAUGUUAA